CCAAAUCCAUUACAGUAAAAGACAAAAUAUUAUGAAGACAAUAAUCCACUAAAAGAUUGGGGGGGGGUGACAAGAAAGGCUGUCUUCAGUAGAUAAAACAUUAUCAGAAGUUACUGGAAAAUAGAAAACACAUGGGACCACAUUAUUAAAGAAACAAUGGAUGAGGGAAACAAAGCCUCACACUUAAGCCACUGAAAACUACUUUAAAGGCAAAAGAAACUCCAACCACAUUGAAAACAUAUCUAAAGACUAAGAUGGGCCCUCUGUGUAACUGGGGUAAUUAAUUGCAGAAAAUUGAGAUAAUGAGUUUCUCCGCCUUUCCCUUGAUUAUAGGAAAUUUCUAUCAGCACACAAAAUAACUCAUGACAUAAAAGAAAGAAAUAGAAAAUAAGACCCUAUGACAUUUAAAACUCCUUGAAGACAAAAGAUUCUGAGGAUUAAAGUUUUUAAGGAGCUUGAAACUACAACAAAAUGUCUCGAAACUUGGGGAAGGAAGUCGCCCACAUGUAUUAUAUAUUAAGAACAUUUGCCAAAAAAGAAGAAAAGGAAGAAGAAGAAGAAGAAGAAGAAGAAGAAGAAGAAGAAGAAGAAGAAGAAGAAGAAGAAGAAGACAACGACGACAAAGGGGAGGAGAGUAUGAAAAAUUGAAUUCCUAUCAAGAUCUAACUAAAUUCACUAGGACAAAAGCAGAGGGGCUGGAAUAGAUAGAGCAGCCAAGGCUUCCAUGUUCGUGAUGGACAGGAACAAGAGACCCAAACCGGUAAUGGGUAGGUCAAAGACAGACUUAUGCUGACAUCGAGCUCCUGGAUUUGGGAGUGGAAUUAUGCUUUAGUCAUUCACUCCAGACUAAAAAAAGACUGUGGGCUAUAACCCACAGAUAACCCCAGUCUUAUCAGAGGAAAAAGCAUGAAAUGUCAAUUGAGAACACUCUACAAAACAAGUGAUUAGAACUCCUCAAAAUGAUCAAGCCUCAACAUUUAAUUUGCUAUGUCACCUUUGGCAAAUCAGCUCGCCAAGCCUUAUUUUGCUCACCUGUAAAAUUGAACUUAUAAGUCUACUUUCCACAAAUGUUGUGAGGAUGAAAUGAACAACAAACGUGAAGGCCCUGGAUACAUUCAAUUAAAAAAAAAAUUUUAAAAAAAGGUUGUUGUAUCUAUCUACUAAAUAUGCAUAAUAUGGUUAGCGUUUGUUUUGCAAAGAGAGAGAUGGCCAUUUGCUAUCUACAGGAUUAGAUUGUGCAAUACUAUUUCUAUUGAAUAAAUGAACAGACACAUUUACUUAGAAAUACUAGUAUUUAAAUUUAGAGCUGUAUACUAAUUCAAAAAAUAAAUGAAUUUAUUUAUUCAUGGAAAUGAUAAGAGAUAAAAGCAAUGGAAUGGCAAUGGAAAAGAUAAAAGAUAAUUCAUCCUCCCAUGGAGACAGGACUUAGUAGAGGGUUACAUUCCAGAAAAGGUGGCUGGCUACCCAAGCCUCACUAAUCCAAACGUGACAAUAAUUACCAUAACUAAGCAGUAAUAUUCCUUCAUAUUAUUCAUCAAAAAGCUAUCUAGGUGUUAAUCAACAAAUUAAUACAGGAAUGAAUAGCAUACAGUAUAUUCAUUUACCUUUAUUUGGCAGAACCCAGGGAGAGGAAGUGUGCUUGAUUGGGGAGCUUGCAGGAGCAACAUGGGAAGGAAAGAGUUGGACUUAGAAAUUCUGAAAAAGGCUACUUGAAACUCCAUACUAUGGGAUAGGUGACUGGCAAGAUGCAGUAGAGGUCUCUAAUAGAAAAAAAAAAAAAGUCUGUAAAUGAAGGCCAAUGUUUAACUCCCUUAACCUAUCUGAAAUGGUGAUGAUAGUGAGGGGGAUGAUGAUGAUGGAGAGGAGGAGCAGGAUAAUUUCCUUCUGUCAUUUGUAAGGUUUGUGUAGUUGACUUCAGCUUAUUGAGGUAGAAUUGGUUGAUCUUGAUAUUCCUUUUAACAGUGGCUUGUUAAGAAUGGUGAUCAGACUCAUAUUCUCAUUAAUGAGGCACCAGGGCAAGUUUUCUGGGGCUUCCUGGGAAAGUCCUUCCUUACUUUUAAUGGAGAACAAUGGAAACCCAGACUCUGCAGCCAGAUGUGAAUGAGGAAACAGGUUGCCUUAAUUGUUGAUAGCAGCUAUAUUACAAUUACAUGGAGAUUGAAGUAAGGGGGAAAAAAAAACAACACAUACAGAAACGUGGAGUUGGCCAUUGCAGAGAAAUGGAGCAAAAUCCCAAAUCAGACCACUCAAGCAAUUUGUUCUUCAUCUGGACUUUUAGUUAUGGGAGGCAAUAAAAUGCCUUUAGUUUGAGUGGGGUUCCUGGUUACCUGUCAUUGAAACUAUUCUGAUGUGCUACCUAGUAGGAAACACAUCAGGGACUUUCAGGAAAGCUGCUAAAUCAAGUUCAAAGGUAAGUCAAGUACAAAGUCUGACAUUAGCAGUAGUAAUCGUAAGCCAAAACCAGAGGGGAAAAGGAUAAUAAAAUUAGAAAUGACUAUUAUUAUGAAGAAAUAAUUUAUAAGCACAAAUUUUAUACUACUUACCUUAUGUAAAAAAAUUAUUUUCUUGUUGAAAGAGAGGGAGCACAAGCUGGGAGGAGGGGUGGAGGGAGUGUGAGAGAGAGAAUCUUAAGAAGCCUCCAUGCCCAGUAGAGCCCAACUCAGGGCUCGAUCUCACAACCCUAAGAUCAUGACCUGAGCUGAAAUCAAGACUGGGAUGCUUAACUGAAUGAGCCACCCAGACACCCCUGUCAAAGAUACUUUAAAAGAUGGAUAAAUAACUCUCGUAUGCCAAAAUAGAUUGCAUGAGUAAGGAUAUCUCUACAUUGGUUCGCUGCUCUCUGGGUAUCAGUGGCUGGCAGCCUAUUUCCUGAGUACCAGGAUCAUGUGGGGUCAACCCGUGGCCCAGGUGACACAUGCUCAGGCUGCUAGUUUCAUAUCGCUCCUCUUAUGGAAUCAUAGCAUUUCAUUCUCCAUAGAACUAAGUGGAUUAUUUUCUUAUGCCAGGAAAUUAUAAUGCACUUAUGGGCUAGUGCCUGGAUUCUUUCCUUGUUACUGUGUGGAAUAAAAUUUGCAUUGUAUUUUGAAAAUACAAUUGUCUAUGAAAGCACAAGCAUUACUUUCGUAGCAAUACAAAAAUAUAACUUUAAGAAAAACAGAAACUCAACUCCCUUUCAUAAUAUUUGGCAAUAUCUGACUUUUAGGAUUGAAAGUCUUCAAUAAGAAGAGAAGAUGAUGAGGAUGAAUUCUCUGUAUUUUUUUUCACUUUUUCCUGAAGUUAAAAAAAAAUUAAGAUUUUCUUUUUUUUUUUAAUUAUCUCCACACCCAACAUGGGACUUGAACCUACAAUCCUGAGAUCAAGAAUCACAAACUCUGCCAACUGAGCCAUCCAAGUGCCUUUCCUAAAGGUUAAAAUUUGCAACUACCAUGUGACCUGAAGAGGACUUGUAAAAAUAUCUAUCUUCUGAAGGGAAGGACUCAGUUGAGACCAAACAGACCAGAUGCCAGAAGCACGGAUAUUAGACUCCAGUCUAAAUGAGCUCGGGGGCUGCAGACUCCACAGGCAGGAAGAAAGUGAUGCGGAAAUAGAAGAGAAAUGCGUUUGCUCAUGGAGUCCUGGAGUUUAAAUUUAGCUACCCCAACAGGGGAUUUGAUUUUGCACUUCUAGAAACUGACAGACAAGCCUGAGAUAUCACCCUAAACCCAGCUUUGAAUGAAAGAAAUGCCAGACAGCCUCCUGAUCCUGUUUAUUGACCUUGCUGUCCCUUGCAGAAAGAACAGAGGACUCCUGCACAUCAUGAAACAAGAACUGGACCUGCUUGCACAACAACCCCCUGGGCACUGAGAUAAGAUUUGUAGCUGACACCAAUGAAUCUGCACAUAAUCAAGAAACGUUGCAGACCACUGCACUCCUUUUACUGAUUAACUACCAUAAACUCUUUUCAAAAACCCCUGGACCAGGCAGAAACCUCCACGUUGGCUAGGGGACAAGAGUACACCUUCUCUCCAGGCUAGCAUGGAAGAUAUUUCAGUUCCUGUUGAAGUUAUAGGUGGCCAUGGGAUCUACUGUGGACAAUCAAGUGUGAUUAGAAAUGGCAUAUGUCAAUUUUGAGAGGAAAGUCUGAUGAUCACAGAAGAUUCUAUCUCUUAAGGAUUAUUAGGCAGAGCCCUCUCUGACCCACAGUGAACAUGAACAUCUGCAGAGGAUAAAGACAGAGGAGAUAGCAAUGCCUUAGAAGAGAGGAGCUUGGUCUCUGAAUCACUAUAUUGAAGAAAGUCACUCAGUUAGGGCUAUUGCUCCAAGUUCUCCCGGCAAUCGGGUUGAGACACAGGGAGGCGAAGACCUCGAAUUCACUACCAGGGACACUGUGUUCCCUGCGACUGAAAAAAAUACGAGAUUCUGAGCCUCGGAUGACGCUCCUAAGGAAACAUCACACUGUGCGGCUCUUCUCGGGAUCUCUUCAGCCAGACCCACGGGCUUUGACCUCCCGCCGCCGGCCUCCAGGAGGGCGGACGGAGCGUCUCCGCUCGCGGCCAACAGGUGACGCGCCCCGUCCGCCUCCGCCCGGCGGCCCGGCCUCCCCCAGCCCACGGCGCGCGUU